AAUGAACGUUGGCGGCGUGGAUUAGGCAUGCCAAGUCGUGCGGCGAUGAAGUUUGGUGCUUGCAUUAAACUCUGAAAGCGGCGAAAGGGAGGAGUAACGCGUGGAUCAUCUACCCUCGGGUCUGGGAUAGCUGCGGGAAACUGCAGGUAAUACCGGAUGAUGUCCCUGGACCAAAGGUGCAAGUUCCGCCUGAGGAUGACGUCCGCGUCCUAUUAGCUAGUUGGUGGGUAACGGCCCACCAAGGCAAAGAUGGGUACCGGGUGUGAGAGCAUGGCCCGGCUCACCUGGGACUGAGACACUGCCCAGACUACCUACGGGUAGCCUGCAGUCGAGAAUCUUCCGCAAUGGACCGAAAGUCUGACGGAGCGACGCCGCGUGCGGGAUGAAGGCCU
rnacentral:rRNA from 1 species